UUUUGUCUUUGGCCCUGACCUCUUCUCUGAACUUCUUUCCAGUAUGUCCUACCUGCCUACUGGACACCCACAUGGGCAUCUGAAAGAUAGCCGUGCUUCUGCGGACUCUCCAGAUGAACACCGACUUUGGAAAAAACCGACAAGCAGAGCAGCUAAGGUUCAAAUUUGCUGGCUAACUGAAAGCAUCAGGUUUAACCUACGCCCUUAGGUGCCCCACCUGUAA
rnacentral:lncRNA from 1 species